rnacentral:rRNA from 1 species
UACGAAGGGGGCUAGCGUUGCUCGGAAUCACUGGGCGUAAAGGGUGCGUAGGCGGGUCUUUAAGUCAGGGGUGAAAUCCUGGAGCUCAACUCCAGAACUGCCUUUGAUACUGAGGAUCUUGAGUUCGGGAGAGGUGAGUGGAACUGCGAGUGUAGAGGUGAAAUUCGUAGAUAUUCGCAAGAACACCAGUGGCGAAGGCGGCUCACUGGCCCGAUACUGACGCUGAGGUGCGAAAGCGUGGGGAGCAAACAGGGAU